UAACUUUUAACGGUGGAUCUCUUGGCUCGUGCAUCGAUGAAGAACGCAGCCAGCUGCGAUACGUAGUGUGAAUUGCAGAAUUUAGUGAAUCAUCGAAUCUUUGAACGCAAAUUGCGCUCUCGGUCAUACCGGGAGCAUGUCUGUCUGAGUGUUGGUA
rnacentral:rRNA from 1 species